rnacentral:rRNA from 1 species
GACGAACGCUGGCGGCGUGCUUAACACAUGCAAGUCGAACGAAGUGGCGAAGGGGUGAGUAAAACGUUGGUAACAUGCCCUGCUCUUUGGGAUAAGCUAUGGCAACGGGGCGUAAUCUCGAAUAGAGGGGGUUGGGGUCCCGGCCUAUAAGCUGGUUGGUGGGGUGAUGGCCUACUCAGGCGGUGAUGGUUAGCCGGCCUGAGAGGGGGAACGGCCACAUUGGGACUGAGAUACGGCCCAGACGCCGACGGGAGGCAGCAGUGGGGGAUAUUGCACAAUGGGCGAAAGCCUGAUGCAGCGACGCCGCGUGGGGGAUGAAGGCUUUCGGGUUGUAAACCUCUUUCGCGAUCGAACGGGUAGGUGGAGAAGAAGCGCCGGCUAACUACGUGCCAGCAGCCGCGGUAAUAC